CACGUGAGUAACCUGCCCUUAACUCUGGGAUAAGCCUGGGAAACUGGGUCUAAUACCGGAUAUGACUCCUCAUCGCAUGGUGGGGGGUGGAAAGCUUUUUGUGGUUUUGGAUGGACUCGCGGCCUAUCAGCUUGUUGGUGAGGUAAUGGCUCACCAAGGCGACGACGGGUAGCCGGCCUGAGAGGGUGACCGGCCACACUGGGACUGAGACACGGCCCAGACUCCUACGGGAGGCAGCAGUGGGGAAUAUUGCACAAUGGGCGCAAGCCUGAUGCAGCGACGCCGCGUGAGGGAUGACGGCCUUCGGGUUGUAAACCUCUUUCAGUAGGGAAGAAGCGAAAGUGACGGUACCUGCAGAAGAAGCGCCGGCUAACUACGUGCCAGCAGCCGCGGUAAUACGUAGGGCGCAAGCGUUAUCCGGAAUUAUUGGGCGUAAAGAGCUCGUAGGCGGUUUGUCGCGUCUGCCGUGAAAGUCCGGGGCUCAACUCCGGAUCUGCGGUGGGUACGGGCAGACUAGAGUGAUGUAGGGGAGACUGGAAUUCCUGGUGUAGCGGUGAAAUGCGCAGAUAUCAGGAGGAACACCGAUGGCGAAGGCAGGUCUCUGGGCAUUAACUGACGCUGAGGAGCGAAAGCAUGGGGAGCGAACAGGAUUAGAUACCCUGGUAGUCCAUGCCGUAAACGUUGGGCACUAGGUGUGGGGGACAUUCCACGUUUUCCGCGCCGUAGCUAACGCAUUAAGUGCCCCGCCUGG
rnacentral:rRNA from 1 species